rnacentral:tRNA from 1 species
GGGAUCGAGGUGUUAGCGGCAGCAUCUCCGGCUCUUAACCGGGCGGGUGAGGGUUCAAGUCCCUCCGAUCCUA